GGCUUCACGAUCCCUCUUUGUUUUCUGUCGCGAAUGAUCUCAGAUCUUCUCCGUUUCUCAAUUGGGAACUUCUCGGCGCUCGUCGUGUUGAUCGAUUCAGGUGCAGGUGUGAGAUCGGAAAACUGAUCCUUUGGCUCUGGAUUUGAAGAGCAUUUCACUGUUCGACGAAUGUUUUGUACAUUGAAGCUACAGGUUCUUGGUACUGCGACGUUGACAUUCGUAGAAGUAGAGAGAGAUUGAAGAAGUAAUGUGGAAGCCAUUGAUUUAGAGCUUAAACGAUGAUGAUUGGAGAUAGAUAAGGCCUCCUUGUAAUGUCGUUUUACUGUUUACAUGUUUUAGAUAAGAACGUGCUGUCGUUUUUUUUUUAUGUUUUAGAAAAUUUUGUUUUUUUUUUCAAAUGAAUCGUUAGUUUUAAAUAAUUUGGCCGUUGAGGCAACAAUUUUCUUCCCAGAUUUAUUUUCUGUGACGUUUCUGUAAAACUUAAAGCUAUUAUUUUUCAAUUCUCUGUAACUCUAUGAUGAGUCAAGAUUUUAGACCAAGUUAGUUUACAACUUAAUUCCUUGUAGUUUGGUUGGAAACCUUCAAUUAAGGCAUGUAUGACUAAAUCGAGUAAGUUAAGGAUCACUUAAUUUAAAAGUUGAACAACUCCUUUGUUUGAACUCUGAUUGGGCUAAUUCCACUUUGCUGUGAUUCCUUGAUGAGUCAAGAACAUGGAUCGGGUCAGGUCUCAGCUUAGACCUUUGUGGUUGGGCUUAAACUCCAUGAAAUGAGCUCAUAUGUCUUCUCGAGUGAAUUCUGGUCCAAAAUCUAGCCAGUAGUAGUGAUUCCUCGUCUAAGCCAAAAGUAUAUUCUUAAUAUAUUCUUUGAGGAUGAUUGGUUUAAGCUUUCACCUCUGCUUUUGUUGGGCUCGCCUUUGAGCUCCAUUUCCCUCUCUGAUUCAGGUUUGGCAUGGUUUGGUUUGAUCAAAGCUAACGACCACAUCAAAUCAUGUAGAUGAGAAGCUAGAGGAGGAUUCUGCAGUAUUUUUCUAUAAGACAUGUUGUUUUUAAUUUAAAGGUAAAUCUGUUUUUGAAUUUGUACUUAUCAAUAUUUAUCGCUUUAGGAUUUAAGAUUGGCUAAUAAAAUGAGAGGACUGACUUUUUGGUGUAAGAAAUAUUUUGUUAGUAAUAAACUUGUGUAUAAUUGUUUAGUAAGUUGCUUUCCUAUCAAAUUCUAAAAAACAGUGAGUGCACCCAAAAUGUACAAUUCCAAUCGUUAGAAUACAAUCAUAUACAUUGGCAAUUAAAGUUUUUAUUCUCUUUUGUAGUUUAGUACGACUUCAAUAAUUCAAUCAUUGAUGUGUGCAACAAAGGACCUAGGAAGCGACUCCCUUUGGACGGAGAAUUCAAGAAUUCGAUUAAUGACGUCUACAUGGAGGAUGCAAUUAUCUCUUCACUCGAAAGAAAAAAUGAGAUACUUCGCUAUAAAAUGUUUGGUUUGUAUUUUGAACUCAGAUAUGAGCUAACAUCAUCUUGGUGUGUGUCACAGAUAAUAGUUGUCUUACAUACGGUGCCAGUUUUAAGGGAGUGUUAAUUGUGCAAAUGCAUAGAGUUCCACAAUUUUAAUUAUUAUUUUUUUAUAUUUUAGUGUCCUGAAAUUUUAAAUUUUCACUAAAAAUGGUCAAAUUUUCAAAUCAUAGAUAUUUAGUCCAUAAUUUGUAGUAGAAAAUUAAUCAUAGCACAAGAUCAACAAAUUCUUUGAGCCAGACCUGCUUACAUAGAAAGGUUAUCUCUAGAUGAGGAAUAAAAAGAACAUAAAUAUCGUUUGAAAAUUUUUUUAAGCAAUAUAUUCUAUGACCCUUUUUAGUGGUUUCAAGGUGUAAAAAUUUCAAACAUCCAGAUCCCAUGAGAUUCCCAUAAAUUUUAUUAACUUUUUCUUGUUUUUGCAACCAAUUAUAAUCAUUUUCUUGAUCCAGUCAAAAUUUACAAAUUCAUUAAAAUUCUAAUCUUUCAAAAUAUUAGAUUCAACACACCAUAUAAUCUCUAUAUUAUUGAGUAGACAUUUACAUAAAUGAACCUUUAUUUGUAAGAUAUGACAAAAUAUUUUACAUAAAUAAACAUUUAUUUAUAAAAUAUUACAUAAAUAAAUUUUUACGUUUAAGAUAUUACAUAAAUAAACUUUAUAAAUAUAGAAAAUUCAAUUAAAUAUUCCUCCGUAAGAGAUAGUUAAAUAUAGAGCUCACACAUUUAUUUUAAAUAUAUAUGGAUAUAAAUUAAAAGUAUAUUUAAUUUCUUUACUUAUUAAAAUAUUAAAAUAUAUUCUAUUAUUUUAAAUAAUAAUCAAUCCAUAUAUAUGAAAAAAUCUAUUUAUACUUUUUGCAAUAUUUUUUAUUUGUAUUUUCAUGAUUAAAUAGUAUCAUUUUUUGAAAAUUAAUUCAAUUAUUUUUAUAAAAAAAUUGAAAUAUGUUUUCAAAAUUUAGAUUGUAUUUUUUAUGGGUGGUCGAAAAACUAUUUUAGUAAAUUUUAAAAUAGAUUAAGUAGAUAGUUUUUCUACUUUGACAAUUCUAUAUAUAAUCUUUAUUAACACAUAUUAUAGAAUUCAUUAACAAAAAAUAAUAGUUUGAUCUCUAAUUAAAUAUUCAUAAUUAAAUUAUUAUUAUUAUUAUAUAUAUAUUCUAUUCUAUGUUGUAUGUAUAUAAGUAUAUAUAUAUAUAUUAACAUCAUGUCACAUUUAUAUUAAAAAACUACUUAUAAUUAAACAGCAUAACAAAACUAGCUCAAAAUCCUAUUUGAUGGAUACAUAUACAAUAAAUAUCGGUUAUGUAAUAUUUCUAUAUGUAUUGUUAUCUAAUUGUCACCAGUUUUAUUUAUUUUAUUUUUUGUUAAAAAAAUUUUAUCACUAAUUUUUGUUUAACCAAAAACUUAAAAUUAAAUUUAAAGAUAAUUUUAAAAAUAUUACCCCGCACAAUGUGUAGAUUAAUUUCUAGUUUUAUUUGACUCUGAUAGAGGAUACGUUGAGAUUAAAGGCUUAGCAUCCAUAAUUUUUUGUUAAUAAAAAUCAGGUUCACUAUCAUUCAGGUUCUAAAUCCGGUUCAGAUUGCAUUGAGUUUGGGACCAAGCCAAAUUAAUCCACAUUGGUUUGGUUUUGUUGGGUUCAAUUCGUUCUUUGGGUUAGGAUUUAUUUUUCUACUCCAAUUUGACUUUUUUUUAAACGACGCCGUGUACACCACUUUUAGUGUUUUGCAAUAUCUUCAGGAUUUCGGAUUCCCCUAAUCUUCUGGUUUAUCCCAUCUCCAUUAUCUUACUGGUUUGACCUCAUUUUAUUUGGUUCAGCUAUUUAAAAGUUAUGUAACUAAACGAUAUAUAAUAUAACCUCUAUAAAUUAAUACUCGAUAAAUUAAUAGUUUAAUAAAUUAAUACAUUUUUAAGUUUCAAAUUAGUUUUUCGAGUUGAUUUUUAUAUCGAUAAAUUAAUAACUUAAUAAAUUAAUAAAAUAUUACAGUCUUAAUAUUAUUAAUUUAUAAAGGUUUAACUGUCUAUAGCUUGUGAAAUUAAUCAACUUUUAUUUUAUUUUUAUUUAUUUUUAUACUAGUUGAUUAGCACGCUAUAUUUCAUAUUAUUGGUUAUUGAUAAUAAAAAAUAAUUUAGUAAUAAGAUUUUUUAAUAAUAUUUAAUAUUUCACCAUAAAAAAAUAAUAAUUUAAUAUAUUAUAGCUAAAUAAAUGACAUUAACCAAACAACAUAUAGCAUAAAUUGUUUGAUAAGAAAGGAUGAUUACCAUUUUAUUAAGCUAGGCAUACAUAUUCUAUAGAUGAUACCCACUAUGAAAGGUAUUCAACCUCGUUACAAUUAUCGAUGUUGAAUCAUAUCCACCAAGACAUUAUAUACUUACACCCAUAUUGUUCACAGCUAGAUACGACUCAAACCAACAACUGAAUUUGAUCUACAUAUCUAGAUGACUAGAUCACUUAACUCAUAUGAAAACUUCUAUAUUUCAAAAAUUAAAAGGAGAAUAAAGCUCUAAGGAUUGAAAUUUCACAUACAUUUCAUUGUUCUCAGAUGUCUAUUUAGCUUACAUUAAUCUAGUUUCAGAAGAGUAACAAAAUUUUAAGAUGCAUUCAUUAUUUCUCUCCUUUUUUCUCCCUCUCUCUCCACCUCCCCUUCUAUCUCUCCCUUCCUCUUUCUCUCAUGAACGCAACAAAAUUAAAUUACAUACCACAUUUUUAUCCGAUUUAAAUUUAAUCUUAUUCUUUUCCUCUGAUUUUCUCUUUUUCUAGUUAGUUUUGGUGUCUCUUUUCUGGUUUUCACCCAUUAGUAUUUUUAAGAAUUGGCUUCAAUAUGUUAUUAUUAUAAGAUACCACAAUUUGAUUCUGAUAAUAUAUAUUCUUAUGUAUUCCUUAAAAGUUUGGAGUUGCCAUUCGAGCUUCUGGAAAUUCAUGUGAUUUAUUUUUAGAUUUAUUAAAACCUGGUUUGGAUCAUGUUAUCAUAUUGAUACCUAUCUAAUCUCACAUAUUGUUUUAAUUGAUAAAAACUUGCAAUUAUAAACUUGUAUUAUAAUGUGUCAUAAUUUAGAUCUCAAAAUUUUUUUUUUCAGAAUUGGCAAAACCAAAUUUAAAUUUAGCUAUUCAAAUUUUUUUUUCGACCCAAACUGUCUCGCCAUUAACCCUUCGAACUUCUCUAAGAAGUCCAUUAUCACAUACCCUUUAGGCUUCUCCAAGUUUAUCUCUUUCGUUCUCUUCCAACCAAACUCUAAAUUCGGAGGCUCAGGCUUCACGAUCCCUCUUUUUCUGUCGCGAAUGAUCUCAGAUCUUCUUCGUUUCUCAAUUGGGAACUUCUCGACGCUCGUCGUGUUGAUCGAUUCAGGUGCAGGUGUGAGUUCGAAAAACUAAUCCUUUGGCUCUGGAUUUGAAGAGAAUUUCACUGUUCGACGAAUGUUUUGUACAUUGAAGCUAUAGGUUCUUGGUACUGCGACG
rnacentral:lncRNA from 1 species